rnacentral:rRNA from 1 species
GUAAAGCAUCCUACGGGAGGCAGCAGUGGGGAAUAUUGCACAAUGGGCGCAAGCCUGAUGCAGCCAUGCCGCGUGUAUGAAGAAGGCCUUCGGGUUGUAAAGUACUUUCAGCAGUGAGGAAGGUGGGUAUGUUAAUAGCAUACUCAUUUGACGUUAGCUGCAGAAGAAGCACCGGCUAACUCCGUGCCAGCAGCCGCGGUAAUACGGAGGGUGCGAGCGUUAAUCGGAAUUACUGGGCGUAAAGCGCAUGCAGGUGGUUUGUUAAGUCAGAUGUGAAAGCCCGGGGCUCAACCUCGGAAUUGCAUUUGAAACUGGCAAACUAGAGUACUGUAGAGGGGGUAGAAUUUCAGGUGUAGCGGUGAAAAUGCGUAGAGAUCUGAAGGAAUACCGGUGGCGAAGGCGGCCCCCUGGACAGAUACUGACACUCAGAUGCGAAAGCGUGGGGAGCAAACAGGAUUAGAUACCCUGGUAG